ACAUUGUAUGAAGGGAGAGAAGGUUAGCACUCUCCUUGACACAUAUGGAAGAGGUCCUAGUUGUAUUUACAACACAUAUACGGUUAAGGCAUUGACACCUUCUUUGUGGCAUCUCUAACCAUGUUUUUUA